GUAGGGAAUAUUGCACAAUGGGGGAAACCCUGAUGCAGCGACGCCGCGUGAAGGAUGAAGUAUUUCGGUAUGUAAACUUCUAUCAGCAAGGAAGAUAAUGACGGUACUUGACUAAGAAGCCCCGGCUAAAUACGUGCCAGCAGCCGCGGUAAUACGUAUGGGGCAAGCGUUAUCCGGAUUUACUGGGUGUAAAGGGAGCGUAGGCGGCAUGGCAAGUCAGAAGUGAAAGCCUGGGGCUCAACCCCGGAAUUGCUUUUGAAACUGUCAGGCUAGAGUGUCGGAGGGGUAAGCGGAAUUCCUAGUGUAGCGGUGAAAUGCGUAGAUAUUAGGAGGAACACCGGUGGCGAAGGCGGCUUACUGGACGAUUACUGACGCUGAGGCUCGAAAGCGUGGGGAGCAAACAGGAUUAGAAACCCUAGUAGUCC
rnacentral:rRNA from 1 species